rnacentral:misc_RNA from 1 species
CCGAGUUUACAACUCCCAAACCCAUGUGAACUUACCUUUGUUGCCUCGGCAGGACCUACCCUGUAGCUACCCUGUAGCUACCCUGUAGCCUGCCGAUGGACUACUAAACUCUUGUUAUUAUAUGGAAAUCUGAGCGUCUUAUUAAAUAAGUCA